rnacentral:rRNA from 1 species
GCAUAUCAAUAAGCGGAAGGAAAAGAAACCAACAGGGAUUGCCCUAGUAACGGCGAGUGAAGCGGCAACAGCUCAAAUUUGAAAUCUGGCUCUUUCAGAGUCCGAGUUGUAAUUUGCAGAGGGCGCUUUGGUGUCGGCAGCGGUCCAAGUUCCUUGGAACAGGACGUCACAGAGGGUGAGAAUCCCGUACGUGGUCGCUAGCCUUCGCCGUGUAAAGCCCCUUCGACGAGUCGAGUUGUUUGGGAAUGCAGCUCUAAAUGGGAGGUAAAUUUCUUCUAAAGCUAAAUACUGGCCAGAGACCGAUAGCGCACAAGUAGAGUGAUCGAAAGAUGAAAAGCACUUUGGAAAGAGAGUCAAAUAGCACGUGAAAUUGUUGAAAGGGAAGCGCUUGCAGCCAGACUUGCCUGUAGUUGCUUAUCCGGACUUUUGUCCGGUGCACUCUUCUGCGGGCAGGCCAGCAUCAGUUUGGGCGGUUGGAUAAAGGUCUCUGUCAUGUACCUCUCUUCGGGGAGAACUUAUAGGGGAGACGACAUGCAACCAGCCUGGACUGAGGUCCGCGCAUCUGCUAGGAUGCUGGCGUAAUGGCUGUAAGCGGCCCGUCUUGAAACACGGACCAAGGAGUCUAACAUCUAUGCGAGUGUUUGGGUGUCAAGCCCAGACGCGUAAUGAAAGUGAACGGAGGUGGGAACCCUUUGGGUGCACCAUCGACCGAUCCUGAUGUCUUCGGAUGGAUUUGAGUAAGAGCAUGGCUGUUGGGACCCGAAAGAUGGUGAACUAUGCUUGAAUAGGGUGAAGCCAGAGGAAACUCUGGUGGAGGCUCGCAGCGGUUUCUGACGUGCAAAUCGAUCGUCAAAUUUGGGCAUAGGGGCGAAAGACUAAUCGAACUAUCUAGUAGCUGGUUCUGCG